UCCCUAACGCGAACAACAAAAUCAGAGUCGGACGCCUCCCGCCUCUCUCUUUUGUGCUCCUCUCCGCAAUCGAAGGAAACCUCCAUACCUCUACAGCCCCUGAGCAAACGAUGAAAGCCCUCUGUCUUGUGCUCUCCUCCAAAUCUGUGAGGUGACUAUUUGGCUGUUUGGAUUGAAACUUGUCGAGGUAAAAGAUAAAAGAAAGACUAGCUAUUGAGAAGUACUGCACAAAGACAGACCAUAUAAUGAGGUGAUUGUGGAUGAAAAGCUCUACUCAAUCCAAUAUAAUUUUUAGCUAGAGAAGCUGAAUUUCCCAAGGUGAGCCAGAAGAGAAGUCCAAUCAUCAAUGUACUAUCAUCUGUCAUGUAUUCUUAUUUGUGCCCAUAAUCCUUCGAUAUGUUGUUUCUGAUUAGAACUCAAAAUACUUGUAUGUACAGUACCCACAGCAGCUCAUAGACAUAGAAGUUGGAUUAGAGAUAAAAGUUGCAGAGAAUGAUUUGAUUAGAGAUAAGAGCUGCGAUAAGAGCUAGAGCUUUUCAUGUCGAAACAGCAGGCACCAACCUAAAGUUCAAUUCUGAAGAAGAUGGGAUCGGCUUGGUUUUUGGACUUGAUCCUUUUUUUUUUGGAGAACAAGUACAUGAAAGAUGUUAUCCGAAAGGCUCAAUAGAAAUAUUCCAGCACUUGAAGGAAAAUUUGAUGACAUUGUAGCUAUUUUUGUUGUAUGAUUCAUGGAGACAAACAACGAUAUAUGUCUCUUUUUGUUGAAUGUAAAUAGCAAAUGCGGCCUUUUUGUGUUAUGGCUUAUGUAAAUCAUUAAACUUGACAUGCUAUGGUGGCUUUUUAUUUACCAUUGUUGAUGAAUAUCAUGCCUUGGUGGCUCUUUUUGUUUAAUCAAAUGUUGAUGAAU